GGCCCCGACCCGGGGUAUGGGGGGGUACGUUCGGAACGGACGCUAAUACCGCAUACGUCCUACGGGAGAAAGCAGGGGAUCUUCGGACCUUGCGCUAUCAGAUGAGCCUAGGUCGGAUUAGCUAGUUGGUGAGGUAAUGGCUCACCAAGGCUACGAUCCGUAACUGGUCUGAGAGGAUGAUCAGUCACACUGGAACUGAGACACGGUCCAGACUCCUACGGGAGGCAGCAGUGGGGAAUAUUGGACAAUGGGCGAAAGCCUGAUCCAGCCAUGCCGCGUGUGUGAAGAAGGUCUUCGGAUUGUAAAGCACUUUAAGUUGGGAGGAAGGGCAUUAACCUAAUACGUUAGUGUUUUGACGUUACCGACAGAAUAAGCACCGGCUAACUCUGUGCCAGCAGCCGCGGUAAUACAGAGGGUGCAAGCGUUAAUCGGAAUUACUGGGCGUAAAGCGCGCGUAGGUGGUUUGUUAAGUUGAAUGUGAAAUCCCCGGGCUCAACCUGGGAACUGCAUCCAAAACUGGCAAGCUAGAGUAUGGUAGAGGGUAGUGGAAUUUCCUGUGUAGCGGUGAAAUGCGUAGAUAUAGGAAGGAACACCAGUGGCGAAGGCGACUACCUGGACUGAUACUGACACUGAGGUGCGAAAGCGUGGGGAGCAAACAGGAUUAGAUACCCUGGUAGUCCACGCCGUAAACGAUGUCACUAGCCGUUGGGAGUCUUGAACUCUUAGUGGCCGCAGCUAACGCAUUUAGUUGACCGCCUGGGGAGUACGGCCGCAAGGUUAAACUCCAAAUGAAUUGACCGGGGGCCCCGCAACAGCGGUGGGAAGCAUGUGGAUUAUUUCGAAGCAACCGCAGAAGAACCUUACCAGGCCUUUGAACAUCCCAUUGAAACUUUCCUAGAGAUAGAUCCGUGUGCCUUCGGAACAUUGAGAACAGGGUGCCUGCUAUGGCCUGUCGUCAGCUUCGGUUCGGAGAUAUGUUGGGCUAAGUCCCGUACACAGACGCACACUUUGUCUUGAUAACCCAGACGUUAUGGUGGUAUCUCUAUAGAGGAAUC
rnacentral:rRNA from 1 species